UAGUCGGGCGCUGCUACCAUGCAGUCGAGCGGUAGCGGGAGUGCUUGGUCACGUUUGAGGAGAGCCGCCUGUAAGUGAGAAGUGUGGGGGAAAGCGCGAGAUGGGGGGAUAUAUCUUUUAAAAAGGGUAUAAAAUAGCGCAUAGUGUCAAGAGACAAAAGGGGGAGAUUUUGGGGUCUUGUGCCCUCAUAUGUCCCCAUAGGAUAUUAUCUAAUGGGGGGGAAAACCUCUCAUAUGCGACAAUAUCUAUAUGUGGUGAGAGAAGAUCACCCCCCCCUGUAAAUCAGACACGCUCCCCACACCUCCACGAGGGGCAACAGGGGAAAAUCUCUUAAAGUGCGCAAGCCUGAGCUGCCCAUACAGCGUGUGUGGGGAGCGCCUUCUGGUGGUAUAAAACUUUAUUUUGGGAGGAAAGGGUUGACAACGGCCUUGCAGCACUUGUUUCAGAUUCCCCAAAGGCACCACCCCCUCUCUGCAAAGUUCUCGGGAUGUCAAGAGAAGGUAAGGUUCUUCGCGUCGCAUCAAAUUAAACCACAUGCCCCACCGCUGGUGCGGGCCCCCGUCAAUUCAUAUGAGUUUUAACCUUGCGGCAGUACUCCCCAGGCGUUCGAAUUUAACGCGUUAUCUCCGGAAGCCACGCCUCAAGGGGCACAACCUCCAAGUCGACAUCGUUUACGGCGUGAACUACCAGGUUAUCUAAUCCUGUUUGCCUCCCACGCUUUCCCACCUGAAGCGUCAGUCUUUGUCAAGGGGGCCUACCUUCGCGAGCGGUAUUCCCUCCAGGAUCUCAUCCUCAUUUCAGCGGCUACACUUGGUAGUUCUCCCUCUCUCUAACAAGAACUCUACUCCUGCUAGUUUCUAUGGAGAUUCCAGGGUGAAGCCCGGAGUAAUCUCAUAUCUAGAUGGACCGACCGCCCGCGUGGGCGUUAUACGCGUUAAUAUCCGAUGAAACGUAGAACCUCAUCGAUACUCGCGCGUCGGACAGAUAUAACAGGUUUCUUGCUUGCGUGACAUCAUAGUGGGUGAUUAUGCUAACCCUCUCCCCUGAAAAAAUGUGUUAACCACAGGACGUUAUCUUACACCUUAUGUGAUGUCACACUGUUCGCAGUUACAUAUAAUCCUGCUGACUCAUAGAAGUGCGUAAUAAACUCAUCGUAGUGUAUCAAUUCA
rnacentral:rRNA from 1 species